AGUGAACGCUGGCGGUAUGCCUAACACAUGCAAGUCGAACGGCAGCACAGUAAGAUCUUGCUCUUACGGGUGGCGACGGGCGGACGGGUGACGAAUAGAUCGGAAUCUUCUUUUUCGGGGGGGAUAACGGAAGGCAGCUUACGCUACUACCUCAUACGUCCUACGGGUGAGAUCAGGGGUUCUUCGCGGCUUGCGCGUUUCAAUUAGCCGGAGCCGGAUUAGCUAGUUGGCGGGGUAAAGGCCCACCAAGGCAACGAUGCGUAGCUGAUCUGAGAGGAUGAUCAGCCACACUGGAACUGAGACACGGUCCAGACUCCUACGGGAGGCAGCAGUAGGGAAUAUUGCACAAUGGGCGAAAGCCUGACGGAGCAACGCCGCGUGAGUGAUGAAGGUCUUCGGGUUGUAAAGCUCUUUUGUUGGGAAAGAAAAACAGCAUGUUAAUCUAUGGACGUUCUGACGGUACCUAAACAAAAAGCACCGGCUAACUUCGUG
rnacentral:rRNA from 1 species